UACGGAGGGGACUAGCGUUGUUCGGAAUUACUGGGCGUAAAGCGUGCGCAGGCGGUUUUGUAAGUCUGUCGUGAAAUCCCCGGGCUCAACCUGGGAAUUGCGAUGGAGACUGCAAGGCUAGAAUCUGGCAGAGGGGGGUAGAAUUCCACGUGUAGCAGUGAAAUGCGUAGAGAUGUGGAGGAACACCGAUGGCGAAGGCAGCCCCCUGGGUCAAGAUUGACGCUCAUGCACGAAAGCAUGGGGAGCAAACAGG
rnacentral:rRNA from 1 species